UACGAAAGGUGCAAGCGUUACUCGGAAUCACUGGGCAUAAAGCGCACGUAGGCGGUCUGUUAAGUCAGGUGUGAAAGCCCCCGGCUCAACCGGGGAAUUGCAUUUGAUACUGGCAGGCUCGAGAACGGUAGGGGUGAGUGGAACUCCAGGUGGAGCGGUGAAAUGCGUAGAUAUCUGGAGGAACACCGGUGGCGAAAGCGGCUCACUGGACCGUCACUGACGCUGAGGUGCGAAAGCUAGGGUAGCAAACAGG
rnacentral:rRNA from 1 species